rnacentral:rRNA from 1 species
CGACCGGCAAACGGGUGCGGAACACGUACGCAACCUACCCAUAACUGAGGAAUAGCCCGGGGAAACCCGGAUUAAUACUUCGUAACAUAAUGAGACGGCAUCGUUUUAUUAUUAUAGCUCCGGCGGUUAUGGAUGGGCGUGCGCCUGAUUAGGUAGUUGGCGGAGUAAUAGCCCACCAAGCCUACGAUCAGUAACUGGUGUGAGAGCACGACCAGUCACACGGGCACUGAGACACGGGCCCG